UACGGAGGGUGCGAGCGUUGUCCGGAAUCACUGGGCGUAAAGGGCGCGUAGGCGGCCUGAUAAGUAGGGGGUGAAAUCCUGCGGCUUAACCGCAGGGCUGCCUUCUAAACUGUCAGGCUGGAGCACAGUAGAGGCAGGUGGAAUUCCCGGUGUAGCGGUGGAAUGCGUAGAGAUCGGGAAGAACAUCAGUGGCGAAGGCGGCCUGCUGGGCUGUUGCUGGACACUGAGGCGCGACAGCGUGGGGAGCAAACAGG
rnacentral:rRNA from 1 species